GAUGAAGAACGUAGCGAAAUGCGAUAAGUAAUGUGAAUUGCAGAAUUUAGUGAAUCAUCGAGUCUUUGAACGCACAUUGCGCCCCCUGGUAUUCCGGGGGGCAUGCCUGUCCGAGCGUCAUUGCUGCCCUCAAGCACGGCUUGUGUGUUGGGCCUCCGUCCUCCUCCCGGGGGACGGGCCCGAAAGGCAGCGGCGGCACCGCGUCCGGUCCUCGAGCGUAUGGGGCUUCGUCACCCGCUCUUGUAGGCCCGGCCGGCGCUUGCCGACACAUCAAUCUUUUUUCCAGGUUGACCUCGGAUCAGGUAGGGAUACCCGCUGAACUUAAGCAUAUCAAUAAGCGGAGGA
rnacentral:misc_RNA from 1 species